ACACGAGGAAACUUGUGCUAAUACCUCAUAAGUCUUUACGGAGAAAGCUUUAUGCGCCGAAGGAUGAGCCUGCACUUGAUUAGUUUGUUGGUGGGGUAAUGGCCUACCAAGACUGUGAUCUAUAGCUGAUCUGAGAGGAUGAUCAGCCACAUUGGGACUGAGACACGGCCCAAACUCCUACGGGAGGCAGCAGUAGGGAAUAUUGCACAAUGGAGGAAACUCUGAUGCAGCGAUGCCGCGUGAGUGAAGAAGGCCUUUGGGUUGUAAAGCUCUUUCGUCGGGGAAGAAAAUGACUGUACCCGAAUAAGAAGGUCC
rnacentral:rRNA from 1 species